AAGUCGUAACAAGGUUUCCGUAGGUGAACCUGCGGAAGGAUCAUUAUUAUUGGAGUUCUGCGCAGCGAUGCGCAGAACUUUCCUUCUACCCUUGUGUAUUUAUGCGAGAUUGCUUUGGCUAGCGAUAGCCGGAGACUACAACCAAACUAAUUUUUUUACAAUGCUGUCACACAACAACAUAAUAUUUAAAACUUUCAACAACGGAUCUCUUGGUUCUC
rnacentral:misc_RNA from 1 species